CCUACGGGAGGCAGCAGUGAGGAAUAUUGGUCAAUGGCCGGAAGGCUGAACCAGCCAUGCCGCGUGAAGGUCAGUGCCCUAUGGACGGUAAACUUCUUUUGUGCGGGAGCAAUAAUAGUCACGUGUGGCCAGACGAGAGUACCGUACGCAUACGCAUCGGCUAACUCCGUGCCAGCUGCCGCGGUAAUACGGGGGAUGCAAGCGUUAUCCGGAGUUAUGGGGUUUAAAGGGUGCGUAGGCUGGGAGGUAAGUCAGCGGUGAAAUGCCACCGCUCAACGGGGUGAAGUGCCAUUGAUACUGACGUGCUGGAAUGCGGAUGCCGUGGGAGGAAUGUGUGGUGUAGCGGUGAAAUGCGUAGAUAUUAGGAGGAACAUCAGUGGCGAAGGCGACUUUCUGGACUGUAACUGACGCUGAGGCACGAAAGUGUGGGGAGCAAACAGGAUUAGAUACCCCUGUAGUC
rnacentral:rRNA from 1 species